rnacentral:tRNA from 1 species
GAGGAUAUAGCUCAGUGGUAGAGUGCCUGCCUAGCAUGCACAAGGUCCUGAGUUCAAUCCCCAGUGCCUCCA